UGGAUGUAGCACAUCACGUAGUAACAAUGGAGCGGGCUUACUCCGUGUGAGGCAUCUUCCUAUGGUAGGCCAUGCGUGUACGUGUAUUAUGCGAUGAUUCUAUGCUCACUUCACACACACAGUAGUUUCGACGAUUUUCGUUUGGAUUUUGCCCAUUAAUGUGACCUCAAAACUAAUGUAUGAUGAACCCAUCGCAUGUACCACCUGUAGCAGCGCCCCAUGGAUGUGUGGCUGAGAUGAAUCCCUCCUACGUACCAUCUCUAUCAGUAUCAGCGCCCCAAGGAAGUGCAAGUAGCAAAACUAAUGUAUGAUGAACCCAUCGCAUGUACCACAUGUAGCAGCGCCCCAUGGAUGUGUGGCUGAGAUGAAUCCCUCCUACGUACCCUCUCUAUCAGUAUCAGCGCCCCAAGGAAGUGCAAGUAGCAAAGUGAGAGCAAUGCAGGUUAUUUUUAAAAAUAUUUAAUUUUUAUUAUGUAUUAAAUGAAUAAUAAUAAUGAUUAGUAGUAAUGAAUUUGUCUUCCACAGCGCAACAAAAUCACUUCAAUCAAUAAUUAGUAAAUAAUAAAUAGAUUUGAGGUAUUUGUUCUGUCAUCAUUAUGUUCCCUUUUAGCUGGACGAUACAAUCUCAUAAAAUGCAAUGAGAGUGCACAUAUAGAGGAUCCUUGAUAACUUUGCAGAAAAAAUAUGAAUGUGGUUUCAUGCAUGGGAGGUUGAUAUGUACAGUCCUAAUUGAAAAAGUAAUCUAUCUCUUCCCAUUAUCUCAUUGUUUUAACAGAAAAAAAGAGGAGGAAGUAUGUAAUUAUGUGUCUGCAUAUAUUUCCAAGUAUGGAGAACAUCAAAGCGUCUCUUUUAAGUUAAUUGAAUCAUCCAUGCAAAAUAUCUUUUUGAUGAUAACUUUAAUAAAUGGAUCAUGUUAUUUUAAUAAAGUAUGUUAAGCCAAAUUAAAAAA